rnacentral:rRNA from 1 species
UGAGUAACCUGCCCUUCACUCUGGGAUAACUCCGGGAAACCGGGGCUAAUACUGGAUAUGACUCGAACAGGCAUCUGUUUCGGGUGGAAAGAUUUAUUGGUGGAGGAUGGACUCGCGGCCCAUCAGCUUGUUGGUGAGGUAAUGGCUCACCAAGGCGACGACGGGUAGCCGGCCUGAGAGGGCGAUCGGCCACACGUGGGACUGAGACACCGGCCCAGACCUCCG